rnacentral:rRNA from 1 species
AUUGAACGCUGGCGGCAUGCCUUACACAUGCAAGUCGAACGGCAGCACGGGUGCUUGCACCUGGUGGCGAGUGGCGAACGGGUGAGUAAUACAUCGGAACAUGUCCUGUAGUGGGGGAUAGCCCGGCGAAAGCCGGAUUAAUACCGCAUACGAUCCACGGAUGAAAGCGGGGGACCUUCGGGCCUCGCGCUAUAGGGUUGGCCGAUGGCUGAUUAGCUAGUUGGUGGGGUAAAGGCCUACCAAGGCGACGAUCAGUAGCUGGUCUGAGAGGACGGCCAGCCACACUGGGACUGAGACACGGCCCAGACUCCUACGGGAGGCAGCAGUGGGGAAUUUUGGACAAUGGGCGAAAGCCUGAUCCAGCAAUGCCGCGUGUGUGAAGAAGGCCUUCGGGUUGUAAAGCACUUUUGUCCGGAAAGAAAUCCUUGACUCUAAUACAGUCGGGGGAUGACGGUACCGGAAGAAUAAGCACCGGCUAACUACGUG